UUGGCUGGGAGGCUGGACGCGGCAACCUCCCGGAGGAGUAGGGGCUGAGGCUGAGGCGGCGUAGGUGCAGUUCCCCUCCGUUCUUUUCCAACCUAGACCUAAUUCCCCAUUGCAUUCUUUAGAGUUUUCCUCUUCUAAUCCUCCAGAAUUGUACUGUUUUCUGGUACCCGUUUUAAGCAGACCUCUCCCUGGGGGGCGGCCAGGCAGGCCUGCCCCCUUCUCCACAGACAGGUGGUCGUCGUGCUGGCGUCCGUCAGGGUGACCCGUAGUGGGAGAUCUCAGGACCAGACGAGGACUUUCGGGCCUUGGCACCGCCUUGGGCAGCUGGGUCAACUGGUGAAAAACAAGAUUGAAGAAGACGCUGGGGGAGCAGCAAACCGCUCAGGAUUCCAGAAAUCGAAAAACAACCGAGUAUAGGUGAUUCUUCAGACUACUUUUGAGCCAAGAGCAUUAUGUGAGGAACAAAGGAGCCUGUCGCAAAAGCCCGGAAGAGUUUCUUCAGGAGAAAGUUGUGUUUCUGGAAGCGUCUAAGAGCUAGAAAUAUGUGGAGCAAGCAAAGGGGAACUUUCUUAUCGUUUGCUUUGCCAGCAAAACCUUAAAAAAAAAAAAUGAGACGCUUCCACAGUCUCGGUUGUGUUCAAUCUCAAAGCUGCCGGCCGACGGAUCCCUCUUCUUCUGUCCCUCUGCUCCCGCCGCAUCCGCGUGCGGACACUUGGCACCCCUGCACCUCCCUCACAAGCUGCCAAUCCCAGCGGUUCCUGAACUUCAAACAGAAGUUCACCCUCAGUGCGUCCCCCAAAGGCCUCAGCCUGUCCAUCCAGCGAUGGAAAGAGCCGUGAGGCGCUCUCGAAGCCACGACAGUCUCGGCAAAAGGAGCCAGAUCCUCUACCGCGACAAGCCUAGCUCCCUUGAGAGAACAGCGCAUCUCCUCCCUCCAACUUGGACGAAGCAAUAGAGAUGUGGAGCUUAGACGCCCCCCCUCCCUACCUUCCCUCAAAUCUUUUUUGAGGAUGCUUCUUUGCCUUUCCCCUCCUCCCCUCUCACCUUUUUCUCCUUUUCUUCCUCGACUUCACCCCAUUCCGCCUCUUCCUUCUCGUGUGCUUCCGAAGGAAAUUUUCACUGUAGCUCAGCGCAGUACUAGUAUUUAUGCACGUGUUGAGACUCACGUGUAGCUGAUAUUUUACUUUCCACCUAGCUUUCUAAUUUCUUUUCUUUCUUCUGUUCCCCCGCUCAGGCUUUCACCAACAUAGGCUGAGACUUGUUCUGGUGUGGAGUAAGGUGCAUGGAUUGAGGGGAGAAAGACUCUGUAAGAGAAUCUAAAGUAUUUUUGGAGGAAGUCAUCCAAAAACUUGAAUCUGAAUUUCCACUCCAAAUUUUGACUAAAGGCAAAAACCUCAACUUUUUCCACAUCGGAGAUUAUUUGAGAAUCUGUCCAGAUAUACACAGGGAUUUAUUAAAAUUUGCUUGGUGGGUGGUCCAUGGUGCUGCUGUUUCCUCACUCCAAAGAUGAUUGUUUCUGAAAUUCUGAAAGCCCUUGAAAUUGUUUCUACUUUAUUUAACAAAAGGAGUCCAAUGUCCUGAUACUGUCCAAUUUUUAUAAAAUGCUUCUAAUGCUCACUGAUGGGUAAAAAAAGCAAGUCUCAGUCAGACCACACUCUGAAAAACACUAAUUAUGAGAUAAGAUGUAUUGGAGGUGAGGAGGAAUCCAAGAAGAUCUUUUUUUCUUCUCCUUUUUCUUGUUAUUUAAAUUGAAGCUUACCUCACACCAGUUGGAAUGGCCAUCAUUAAUAAGUCCACAGAUAAUGAGUGCUGGAGGGGGCAUGGAGAAAAGGGGGAACCCUCCUGCACUGUUGGUGGGAGCUUAAAUUGGUACAACCAUUAUGGAAAACAGUAUGGAGGUACCUUAGAAAACUAUACAUAGAACUAACAUAUGACCCAGAGAUGCCCCUCUUGGGCAUAUAUCUUGACAAAACUCUCCUUGCAAAAGACACAUACACCCACAUGUUCAUUCCAGCGCUAUUCACAAUAGCCAAGACAUGGAAACAAUUUAAAUGUCCAUUGACAGAGGAAUGGAUUGAGGAUGUGGUGUAUAUAUACACAAUGGAAUACUACUCAGUCAUAAAAAAGAACAAAAUGAUGCCCAUUUGCAGCAACAUGGAUGGAACUAGAAACCCUUAUACUUAGUGAAGUAAGUCAGAAAGAGAAAGACGAAUACAAUAUGAUAUCACUUAUAUCUGGAAUCCAACAUAUGGCACAAAUGAAACUUUUCACAGAAAAGAAAAUCAUGGACGUGGAGAACAGACUUGUAGUUGCCAAGACGGAGCGGAAGGGAGUGGGAUAGAUUGGGAAUUUGGGGUUAAUAGAUGCAAACUACUGCCUUUGGAAUGGAUAAGCAAUGAGAUUCUGCUGUAUAGCACUGGAAACUAUAUCUAGUCACUUAUGAUGGAGCAUGAUGGAGGAUAAUGUGAGAAAAAAGAAUGUAUACAUGUAUGUGUGACUGGGUCACCUUGCUGUACAGUAGAAAAUUGAUCAAACACUGUAAAUUAACUAUAAUGGAAAAAAUAAAAAUCAUUAUAAAAAAUAGAUGGAGGCUUAAAUAAUAUAAACCAAAAUGCAUAAAACCUAAUUAUUUCAGCUUGACAGGUUAUUACAUAUGCACAUGCCCAUGUAACCAAGAGCUCUGGCAAAGAUACAUGAUUUUUGAGCCCCCCCAACAACUUCUUUGGGCCUCAUCCCAAGCAAUACCACUCUCUGACCUCUGUCGCCAUAGAUUAGUUUUUCUUGUGUUUUGAAAUAACAUAAAUAGAAUCAUGCAACAUGUACUCUGAAUAUGGGGACUUUCAAUUUUUUUUAAGUUUAAUGAUCCAUAUUGUUGCUAGUAGCAGUAGUUUUUAACCACUGCUCUGUAGUAUUCCAUUGUAUGAAUACUGUUCUUCACAACUUCUUAGUUCAUUUUAUUGUUGAUGUACAUUUGGAGUGCUCCCAAUUUGGGGCUGAAAUGUCUAAUGCUGCCACUAGCAUUCCUGUAUAUGUCUUUCAAGGGAGAUACUCAUGCAUUUCUCUUGGGUAUAAAUGUAGCUGUGGAGUUUCAAGGUCAUAAUUUCUAUGUGUAUUUAGUUUUAGUCAAUAUUCCCAUUGUGGCUGUACCAGUUACAGUCACAUCGGCAGUGUGUGAGUAUUCCAGUCACUUCACAUGCUUAGCAGCAUUUGAUAUUGUCAGUUCUCUUAAGUGAUUCUGGUGAAGAGUGAUAUUAUUUCAUUUUAUUUUUAAAUUUGCAUUUCCUUGAGAAAAAUGAUGUUGGGCACCUUUUAAAUUACUUCUUGGCUAUUUGAAGUAACCUCAUUUUAAUUUUUUAUUUUAUUUUAGUUUAGUUUUUCUCUCUCUUUUUUUUUUUUUUUUUUGCUAUUUCUUUGGGCCACUCCGGCGGCAUAUGGAGGUUCCCAGGCUAGGGGUCUAAUCGGAGGAUCCAAGCCGCUGUCUGCAACCUACAUCACAGCUCACUGCAACACUGGAUCGUUAACCCACUGAGCAAGGUCAGGGACUGAACCCGCAACUUCAUGGUUCCUAGUCGGAUUCAUUAACCACUGUACAGCAAGGGGAUCAAGUUAUCCUUACAUGUAUACAUUACAAUUACAUUUUUUUCCCCCACCCUUUGUUCUGUUGCAACAUGAGUAUCUAGACAAAGUUCUCAAUGCUACUCAGCAGGAUCUCCUUGUAAAUCUAUUCUAAGUUGUGUCUAAUAAGCCCAAUCUCCCAAUCCCUCCAACUCCCUCCCCUUCCCAUCAGGCAGCCACAAGUCUUUUCUCCAAGUCCAUGAUUUUCUUUUCUGAGGAGAUGUGAAGUAACCUCUUUUUUGAGAAAUGUAUGUUAGUUUGCUCUUUUUAAAUGAGAUUUUCGUCUUUUUUUCUUGGUGUUUUGUAGAAGUUCUUCAUAGACAGGGUCUUUUGUAAAAAAUACUGAAAUAUCUUCUCUCAGAUUGUAAUUCAUCUUUUCUUAAGGAGGAAAAGACUUGGAAAACUUUGUAAAGAUAGGAAAGAGAAAAGGAGAGAGAGCUUGAAGUCAGAAGAGAGUUGCAUCCAGAAAUCUUUUCUGGUGGUUGCAGAAAUAAUGCUGGGAAGGGAACUUUGAAGAACUGAUAUGAUGAAAUGUCUUAGGAGCAGAAACAGUGUUAUUUGGUUUACGAUCCUUUCAUUUCUCCUACUGUAGUAGCUUAAGAGGAUAUAGUCUACAGGUUUAAAGAAAUAGUGGGAUUUAAGACAGUGGAUAUCUUCGAAGUCCCCUCAGAAAUAUGGUUACUAUUUCAAGGAGGAUCUUCAAGACCUUUCUGCUGUGAGAGGUGUUUUUCAGUGGUGGUAUGUCCUUUCCUUAUGAGAGGAUUCAAAACCUUACACAUGCCUCUACUUUUGUCCUUCUAAAAACACAUUUUGCUUUGUCACAUGGAAAUAAACACAUUAUCU
ensembl:lncRNA